rnacentral:lncRNA from 1 species
CAGGGUCAAUCACAGGAUGUCUGAUUCCUCAGAACUUACUUUUUCUAUCAAUCUAUUUCUCUUUUCUAGGUUUGGGACAAGACACUAUAUCAGAUUAUUUGAAAAGUCAAUACAAGGAAGCACUGAAAGAAGUGAGAGGGCCCAAAGGCAACAAUACCCAGUAGCAACAAGCAAACCCAGACCCUGUCAGCUGCACAGUUCCAACAGCAGUCAAAGUGGAUCUACAGCUCCAAACCCCAUUCCUUCUGGAUUUUCGUGCUGGCCGCCAACCAAGAACUGGCUCCAGCUGGUGGGAAGGAGGUGGUAUCUAACUCCAGUUUUUGUUGGCCCCCAUUCUGGAGGAGGAACUGAAAGCUCGGAUUCAUGGAGCUCAAUUUCUGACCGCACCGCAUCUGACGACGUCCUCACUCAUUGACAUUUCAGGUGAGCGACCCCUAAAUACUCUUUCAUGUUGAAGUCACUUUGACUUGGAGGUUCUGUUUCAUUCAAAAAUGUGCUAUCCGACACAAAUAAUUGCUUUUAUUAGGGAUAUAAACCUAAAUAUUUAAGUAGAUUAAAAAAAAAAACCUUCACAAGAAACUAAAAGAAACAAACAAAGCCCCCACGGAAUUAUCCAGAGAACAUUCCAAUGUCCAGAGAACAUUUGCAGACAAAUUUGAAUCUCUGACUUAAGUGAAAAAAAAAAAAGUAAAAUACACCUAGACCGUGGUAGAUUCGUUUGUUUUACACGUGAAGGUAAUCAAGACUGUG